AGAGGGACUCCUGGCCAGGAGACCCUCCCCGACAGCAGGACUCCCCCCUCCAACGUGGAGGGCUUGGCAGAGAGGACGGGGCUGCCUUACCCAUGGUCCCGUCACCUGGAGAGUGCCCAGAGAAACCCUCUGUGUGAAGCUGCCUGCCAACCACCAAAUCCCAAGGCAAGUUCACCCAGAGGGAGUGCAAGGCUUGAACCUCUCAGCUUGAAGUCUGGGCCAGAGGGCAUGGCCGGCAGCAGCUGGGCUGGGCAAAGCUGUUGCACAAGGCCCAGGAUUCCAGGCAACAGCUGUUUCCUGAUUGAAAUAGCCCUACUCCACCUGGAGGAGGCAGGUUGUGUGAAGCCACCCGUUCAAGUUCCAGCCCCUUCUCGCCCUACCCCCCCGCACUCCCACCUAUGAAUGAGAUGGUGAAACCCGACACCUCCGGGAGGAGGCGGGAGGGUGGGCUCAUUCAUGCCUCCAUUUUGUGAAUGAAAUUCCUGACUCCAUUGAGAGGAAGCUCAAGGGGGAGGGGCAGGAGUUCAAGGGCAAGUAACAAGAUCUCCUCCGGUCUACGUCCUUUGAAGGUCAGCAACCAGAGCGUUUCCCUCCUCCUUCCUCCACCUCACAGCCAGGCCCGGCUCAGCGUAUGCCCCACGUCGGAGAGGCGCACCCUUGUGGUUUCACUCGGGCAGCCCGGGGGUCUGUGGUUCGUCCCCCUCCCCCUAAAACACUGAACUGCAGGAGAUGGGAAAUUCGAAAGAUCUAGCCUGCCCUGAGCCUACUCUAAUCUCAGUAUUUAUUUUUCUCACACGAACUUGCUGAUAAACUCAAAUUUGGGGAUGGUGACAAUGUAACAGAAGCCAAGGUUUUCUGGGUCCCUCCUAAAUGAGAAUGGCCCUCCCUUGGCAGCGGAGGCUUUGCAUUCUAGCUGGCCAAGAAUCUGGCUGAGUGCCCCUCACUCUUGUCAAUGGUCAGGUGGAGCUAGAGUUCAAAGCAGCCCUACUUUCGUACCCAGCUCCAUCAGCCUGGAGGCUGGAACAGUAACCCUGCGUUCCUGCUGGGAACGAGGAGCCUGGCUCCUUUCAAGUUCAUGUUUCUCUUCAUUCAAAUCCGUUAGUAUUUUUAAGCUUCCGUGGGGACGGGGACCAAUGACACAUCCUAUUCAUCUUUGUGCCCUCCAACUCCACACAAUUCAUGCUCCCAGCCCAGCACCUGGGUCUCAGUAGGUAACUGUAACCUCAAACACUUGCCAGAGAGGAAAAGGAAGAGAUGCCUCAACUUUCCUGUUAAAUAAACCACAAGCUGCCUGAGGGCAAGGAGCUGCACCCUCUUAUCUUUUAUCUGAGUAGAAGUGUGCUGACUGAAAAAUGACAAUUCUUUUGAAUCUAUGACCAAAAGGGAGUGGUUGGGUGGGUUGGGAAGGUAAAAAAAACAAACAAACACAAAAACCUGUAGGGAGAACUUCUGGGUGUCACGGAGCUGUUCCUAGGAUCACAUGCCACCCUCCUCAGCAAUCCCAGCACAACUCCUCCAACCCCCUUCCCCAGGAGCAUUUCUUACCUGAGUC